AGUUUGACCUCAAAUCAGGUAGGAUUACCCGCUGAACUUAAGCAUAUCAAUAAGCGGAGGAAAAGAAACCAACAGGGAUUGCCUCAGUAACGGCGAGUGAAGCGGCAAAAGCUCAAAUUUGAAAUCUGGUACCUUCGGUGCCCGAGUUGUAAUUUGAAGGUAGUUUUCUGGUGCUGGUCCUUGUCUAUGUUCCUUGGAACAGGACGUCAUAGAGGGUGAGAAUCCCGUCUGAUGGGGAAUCCAGUGCUAUGUAGAUUUCUACCGACGAGUCGAGUUGUUUGGGAAUGCAGCUCUAAGUGGGUGGUAAAUUCCAUCUAAAGCUAAAUAUUGGCGAGAGACCGAUAGCGAACAAGUACAGUGAUGGAAAGAUGAAAAGAACUUUGAAAAGAGAGUGAAAAAGUACGUGAAAUUGUUGAAAGGGAAGGAUAUUGGAUCAGACUUGGUGUUUUGUGAUUAUCUUCCCCUUGUGGGUUGUGCACUCGCAUUUCACUGGGCCAGCAUCGGUUCGGAUGGCAAGAUAAUGGCGCAGGAACGUGGCACUCUUCGGGGUGUGUUAUAGCCUGUGUUGAUGUUGCCUAUCUGGACCGAGGACUGCGGCUUGCCUAGAUGUCUGCGU
rnacentral:rRNA from 1 species